AUGAGCGCUGGCGGCGUGCCUCAUCCAUGCAAGUCGCGCGAACGGACGAGAAGCUUGCUUCUCUGAUGUUAGCGGCGGACGGGUGAGUAACACGUGGAUAACCUACCUAUAAGACUGGGAUAACUUCGGGAAACCGGAGCUAAUACCGGAUAAUAUUUUGAACCGCAUGGUUCAAAAGUGAAAGACGGUCUUGCUGUCACUUAUAGAUGGAUCCGCGCUGCAUUAGCUAGUUGGUAAGGUAACGGCUUACCAAGGCAACGAUGCAUAGCCGACCUGAGAGGGUGAUCGGCCACACUGGAACUGAGACACGGUCCAGACUCCUACGGGAGGCAGCAGUAGGGAAUCUUCCGCAAUGGGCGAAAGCCUGACGGAGCAACGCCGCGUGAGUGAUGAAGGUCUUCGGAUCGUAAAACUCUGUUAUUAGGGAAGAACAUAUGUGUAAGUAACUGUGCACAUCUUGACGGUACCUAAUCAGAAAGCCACGGCUAACUACGUG
rnacentral:rRNA from 1 species